CGCAAGGCGGGGCUACAGAGCAGGAAGCGGCGACCGCUCCAGCGUCGGGAGCAGGGAAGGGGCUAGAGCGGCGCGUGUCCGGCUGCUGGGCCUCGGAGAGCCCCCGGGCCGCUCCCUGCGCUGCAGGCCCCCGAUAACGGACUUCUUACCUCAUCACUGCUCCAUCUAUUGGGGAAUGAAGGACGGAGCUUCUUGAUGCACACAACUUCCCGCAUGUCCUCAUAGGAGGGGUCAGUGGGCACAAGAUCAUAGUAUGGAAGCUGGUAUUCUUCAACUAUUCCUGAAAGAAACAUUUUCCAGAUGCAUCAUAACUGCAGGAUAAAAGGAUGUCUGCACUGUAUCAACUACACCCUCUUAUAGACACGAUCCAUGCAAGCUAUUCUGUACUAUUAUCUAUAUUAUGGGUCACCAUCCUAGGAAAUGUGGAAAAGUCUAAAACAGCAAUGGGAGGGGCUCUCCCCCAAGGUUAGUUUAUUGCAACCGCAACCAAAUGAACAACAUGUUUGUCAUUUACCUCCCGAGACACCUCUCCUUGCUACCUCCCAAAGGAUGAGUCCAAAACUGUACAUAUCAGCCAUGAUAUACGACUGGAAGUGAUUCCUAUUCAGGCUUUCAUCCAGCACCUCAGGAGGCAUAUAGCGCUUUGUUCCUACCCGGGUGUUUGGUGGUAUGUCCACCUCAUUUGUAUCACUAAAAGAAAAAAAGGAUCAAACAAACAUAACUUGUGGCACUUUAGAAACGAAGUGAGCAACAGCUCACUUCUAAAGAGCAAUAAAUGGUUGGCUUUAAUACAUGCGCUGAAUUUGAUUUGUAGGAAAUGAAACAAAAUGCAGCACAACCAGCGUACUUUUCAAUACAUCCCAAUUAAUUAGUUAUAUGGGCAGAUUAUUUGUUGGAUCACGAAUGUAACACCCUGCCCCCCAUCCCGGUCUCUGGUCUCUCAUUUCAGCAUGCAGUAAUAUACAACUAUAAACUCAGGGUUGACACACACAGAAAUUUGUUACUCACCUAAUAAAUUUAACUGCCAAGCCCAGGUCUGCUAUACAGCAGGUUCCAUUCUUUUUCACGAGAAUGUUCUUACUUUUCAGAUCACGGUGGGCAAUAGCUGGUUUGCCUUGAGUACUGAAGAUCUCCGUGUGCAAGUGGCACAAGCCACUAACUGAGGAAUAGGCCAGUUUUAGCAUGGCUUUUGUAUCCAAGGUAGUGGAUUUCAGAUAAUCAUACAGGGAGCCAUUCUCAUGGUAGUCUGUGAUAAGAUACAGUUGGGUCCAAGACCCUGUACCUUUAAUGUCUGCAGCAAUGAACCCUGUGGGAGGGGGGAAAUAUUUUCAGAUUAAUAUUUUUCAGGGCUUUUGAACACCACACACUUAAAAAUGUGGAUUAUACUGCCUGAAAAAAGUCUGCAACAAUUACUCCGAGUGAUUAUAUGGCUAUAUUAAGAACAGCCCCUGCUAAAAUUUAUCAAUGCUUUCUGUCUAAUCCCCAGAUUAAGGGUUAAACUUGCGCAAGGGGCAAGGUCUGCUCAGUUCUUGGUCACUCCAGGGAUGAGACAUACUUCCCAGCAGUGUGGCCCAACAUCGCCCCCUACAGAAAGCUCUGCUACAUGGUGUCAUUUUUUAAAAAACCCCAGACGCAGGUGGGAGAAACAGCUGUAUGGUUGUUGGGGAUUACAGCCUCCCCAAUCCAGUUACUCUCUAUCUGCAGGGAGACCCUUAAAAUGAUUUUGCAUGAAGAAAAGGACAUCAGCAAAUACAAAGUUAUUAGUGAGAAUAACGAAGAAACAUUUCACUCGCUUACCCAAAAUGUUUUCAUGCCUCAUCAGGACAGUCUGAUAGAUUUCUGUCUCUCUGAACCAGCUGGCCUCCUCAGUGGUGAAGAACACUUUUACAGCUACCUUUUCUCCACGCCACUUUCCCAUCCAAACUUCUCCAUAGCGACCUUUCCCUAUCUGCUUCACCAUCUGAAUCUGCUUUGCUAUAGUCCUUUGGACCUGUUAAAUCCCAAGAAAUACAGUUUAAAUAUACUCCCCAACACGUGUGUUUCAUCUCUCUUUGUCUGUCUCCUCGCAUGCUAAAACAUAGGAACCCUCGCACAAAGAGCUGGAAUGCACAGGCCUCGCACAGAGUUGGGGGAGAUGGAAUCUCCCGCUGCUUCCCAGAGGAUGGAGUAGUAGCGCGGGCACUCUGGUAGUCUGGCCACACCUACAAGCACACGUGACUUUAUGCCAGUGGAUCAGCAUAGGCAUAGAUCUACCUGACAGUUUCAAACAUAGGAGCUUAAAGUCAGGAUCCUAAAUCCAUUUUUAGGAUCCCCAACAGAGCUGACCAAAAAACCCGAAUUAGCAUCCUAGGAAACGUUAAUGCUAAAUGAAAAGUUCUGGAAAAAAAAAUCAAUUUGGAAUGCAGCAUUUGGAUAUUUCCAAACUGAAACAAAAUAUAUUGAUGAGUAGGCCAUAGGGGAGACACUGGUGCGUCAUGGAAGAUACAGUCCAACCAGGGAGUCUAGCCCUUAGGCAAAUGGAAAAAUUUCAGCAACAUCAACAUUUUCCAGUGGAAACCACAUUGACUUUUGAAAACACAGGGACAGAAAAUUCCCAACCAGCUCUAGGAACUGCCCUGAUUUUUCAAAAUGCUGUGUACCCAGCAGCUCUCAUUGACUUUAACAGGAGACAAUAGAAGAUGCUCAGCGCCUUUAAGAACCAGAGCUGGGAUUUUCAGACGUGUCAGCCCCCAACAACGAGUGAAGUUUACUGAGUCUCUCUCAAAAAUCCUACCCCAUUUUUUAAUUAUGAGCCCAUAUAUGGAUUUGGGAGCCGAAUUCUGGGCUCCUAUUUGUAAAAAUGUCAGCCACAAGUUUUUAGUUAGUUUGCUAAAAUGCAGGCGUUAGGAAGCCUGAGUGGCUACAAACGUAUCAUUAUUAUUCAUAAAGAGUAUUUUUCCCCAAAACAUUAAUUUAGGAGCACAGCGUAAAAUCUGUGUUUAUGCACUGACAUCAGUUUCGUCAAGUAGCUUCAUUCUGAAUAAAAGCUAGAUUCAAAGCACCUGCUGACAUAUACCAGAAGUUUCGCACAGCCGACAGCACCGCAGAGUAAUUUCUGAUGAGGAUGACAGAUCAGACACAGAGUUAAGGAAGACUGACCGCUCAUACACUCAACAACUAAACCUAUUAUGACUAAAAAAUCCACCUUGGGCGAUUACAGACUAACUUACCCUCUUGGGAAUGAGACAUGUCUGGAGGCUAUAUAUUCCGAACAAUUCACAGAAGAAAACUAGAGUAAAAGUUGUGAUCCAGCCUACAAAUACAUGAAUGUUCACAGCUCUAUUUCCCAGUCACAAGACAGUACAAUAGAAUAUUGAAAUGGCAACCGCUCGUGCCUCAGUAUUACCUGUUCAAGCCUGAGUGGAAACGUUCUGGCUUUUGUAGGAAAUAUUUUAAAACAAACAAAAUUUUGUAAUUGAGUCCAGUGCAGUUGCAUCUUUCUGCACCAGGCGUUAUAUUUAAAUAUUAAAGUAUAGAUUUUGCCUUCGCCCACGUAAAACUCUCAUGAAAUUCAAUGCACUCAAAUAGCAGUGUUAUCUGAGUGCUUAAUGAGUUACAUUAAUUCAAUGUCCUCCCAAAACAUUCUGAUAAACAUUCAAAACUGGAUUUCAAAAACAAUUUGCUACGCUUUCAUUUUCUCCGAAACUGACCGCAAUUCAGUGCAAGCUGUCACAUUCCUUAUGAACACAGACCAGGUCUGAAACGGUUCGGCUCCAGUCUGAAAGCAUGUGAAACCUGGCAGCAGAGGGAGCCCAGACCCACUUCCUGAGCUCUGAGACUGUUCAAUCAAGUCUUUCAGGGAUUCCCCUGGAGGAAUUUCAUAAGCCGGGGUGGGGGUGUGAUGUUGGGAAGAAAUGUGAAGCAGACGACGCUUAAAUACUUCCGGCUUACCUGAAGUAACAGAAUAUGAUGAUAAGUACCAGGAGUAUACUGCAAACAGUCACUGAGAUCAGCAAGGCCUUAUGGUGAAUGUUUCCUUCAACAAAAUCUGGUUUAAAAAAUAAAAAAAGCUCUGUACAAUGGCUGUAUUUUUGUCUUAGAAUACAAAAAUACUCUCUAAUACCUGAGAUGCCUUUCACGUUAGGUUGGGUGUAAAAUGCAUUCUGCCUUCCUGAAUUUAGUUUCACAUGUAAAAAGACAUACAAGAAUUUAUAAAUCUAUUAAGCAACAGAAUUGUCCCCUUUCUUUUCGACUUGUGUAACGUUGUGUAAUGUAUCACUUGAUUUCAGAGCCAUUUUAUGUGCUCCUUCUUCAGCCCUCAUCCAACGGCGCAAACGUAGCACAUGGAACAGCAAUCGAGGGCCUGACUGACCCUGCAGUCUUUACUCAGACAAAGAUCUCACUGGUAACCCUGGCGCUUUUGACUGCGUUUGCAAGGGAGUAUUUUAGCCCUUCAUGACCGCUAGCCCCCCACCCCCUCAAACCUGGGAUUUAUAAUAGUCCUGUAUCUUACAUAUCUUGUCAGCUAGGACACAGACUAGUUUGGUGCCUCUAUCUUAAUUAACGUUUAUUAAUUUAAGAAAACUAUGAGAGUCUUAACAAAAGCAAUUAAUAUACCCAACUUGUGUCUAUCCUAGCAGAGAAGACAUACAAGGGAUGUCUAAUCCCUGCUAGGGCAUAGAGCUAAAGUCCUUAAAGUUAUAUUUACAUCACUGUAAGGAUCGCUGUCUCUCUCUCUCUCUCUCUCACAGCACUUUAGCAGGAAAAAAUAUUUGUUUUUGAUUCUUGCACUUGUAGAAAAAUGUGUCAUUGCAGAUGAGCCGUUCUUUAAAACCGCUUGAAAAUGCAAUAUUACCAAGCAAUAUGUAAGAAUUGUGACGCUAUAAAAAUAACUGAAAAGUUUGGAUAAAUCCUGGCACGCCAUACCCAUUUUCUGCUUUAAAAUUUAGCUGUCAUCUCCCAAUUUGUAUCCUCAUUUCAGACACAUAUUCUCAUGCUGAAAACUGAAGAAAUCCUGCACCAUCUUCUUUUAAAACGACAAAGUCUCAAAACUGUGAUACUUUAGCACGCUCCCCAUCCCCAGCCUGGUGUUCACUUUCAUGCAGAUAAGGACGAGGUUUUCGGAAGCCUUCACCGUCUGAUUGUCUUGCAUCUUCCACACAAAUGCUGAACACGCAGUAAACUGUGAGAAUUCUAUCCUUAUCGACUCAUCCUGGAAUAACACUAUUAUGUUUCAGAUAUACUAGGGUAAUGAGACAAGGAGGAUCCGAGGGGAAUCUUGGCUUACUGUCACGCACCUCUAUUUUAAAGAUCCAGUUCCCUCUCCCAGCUUUGCUUCCAAGUAUUUCCUUCCCUCCCCUUCCCAUCAUGAACAGGGAUUACUGAGCAUUAUCUGCCUUGUGAGCACAUUGGUCAUGUUUUAACCUGACAUUAUCUGCUCCUGGAGCAUUAACAAUGUAAACAUUCAAGACGUGGCCAUUGCCUUUGAAAGGAGACACUGACACAGGGCCUAUCGGGAAAACACUAGAGCACAUCAUUCUCAUCAGAGCAGCAGAUUUCUACCUGGACCGUCACUCUGAGCGUGCCGGGAGCUGAAACCGAGAACCCACUGGGGAGUCCAGUUCUCUCUGUGAAAGAGGGGGCGGUUCAGGGGAGCCAAGGUUCUAUUUCAUCGUUUAUUAGCAGUCGAUGUUCUCCAGUCAUUUCCCUCUGAAAUGUGUGGUUUGUAACAGUUUAAGGUGUCACUGCCUAUUAGCCCAGGAGAGGCUAAGCAGAGUCUGCAGACUAUAGGGGGAGAAUUCUUCAGACUCUGGAGAAUAUGGAAAUUUGUUUGCAGCAAGGGGUUUCUCGUUUCAUAGAACAGGUGACAAUAAAAACUGGGCUGGCGGUUUUUGUGCUUCUCUAGCAAAAGUGUUGAGUGCCACACAUACAUACAGGGCUCAGUCCUGAUCUUGCUUACACCAGAGUAAACCAAGAAGUGACCCUAUUCAGGUAAAUGAAGUUACACCCAUCAGAAACUGUAAUGAGAUCACAAUUAUGCUUCCUCUUCUUUAGUAUUCUUAAUGGAUUAUGUGUGUGUGUAUAAAAAUUGAAUCGAAUAAAGAGCACUGACGAUGAUUCUGCAAAGAAGAGUGGCUAGCAUUCUACAAACUGUGGCCAACACUUCCAAACUUGGUUACCCAAAGUCAGGCACCUACAAUCCCUAUUUAGGCCCUUGCAUAAAAGUGCUGAGCGUCCUCAACUUCUACAGAAGUUAAAAGGAGGGGCAAGUGCUCUGCACCUCUUAAAAUAAGGCGCCCAACUUUAGGAAGACACACUUGAAAAUGCUGAUUUACAUUUUUUCUGUGAUCAAAGGCAUUUGUGUGGGAGGAAAAAAAAUCCCAGAAAGCACUUAAAGAAAAAAGGGAAUCUCGGUGUGAAAGAUAAGUUCUCCAUUUUAGCCUAUAAAAUUGAGGGAGGCUGGACUAGUUACAGCUAUGAAGGUAAUUACCUUAGAUCAGAAGGUUGUCUUUACAACAACACUACACACAACUUUAUUAAAGAUGCACCAGCCACACAGUAGGCAUGACAUUGGCCCUAAUAAGAAAGGAAGGCAAAACAUCUUUCUUGAGUCCUUUUUAUGUUUACCAACAUGUUAUGCAAGGCAAUAAUGAUGGUGAAUGAGUGAGUUAUCAGCCCAGAAUUCAGACAUGUUUUCAAAUAACUUUGGAGGGAUUUAGCUUGUUUGCUCAUUUGGGGGUUUUGGAAACUUAUACUCAUCAAAAUGUAGAGAAAAAUGCCCAGAAUUCUUUAUUUUUAAAUGUCAGAGAGUAAUCAGCAAUGGCUCUCUGUCAAACUGGGAAGACAAGUCUAGCGAUGUCCCACGGGGGUCAGUUCUGGGUCUGAUAUAUUUUCAUUAAUGAGUUGGAUAAUGAAGUGGGGAAUACGCUUAUAACAUUCGUGAAUGACACCAAGCUGGGAUGGGAUGCAAGCAUUUUGGAGGGCAUGAUCAGAAUUCAAAACAACCCUGACAUAUUGGAGAUUUGUUCUGGGGAAGAGGAAAGCAAAAAAAAAAAAAAAAAAGAGGAAAUUCAAUAAAGACAAGUGCAAAGUACUUCACUUCGGAACGAAAAAUCUAAUGGACAACUGCAAAUUGAGGAAUAACUGGCUAUAUAAGGAUCCUGCUAAAAAGGAUCUGGGGUUACUGUGGAUCAGAAAUUAAAUAUGAGUCAAUAAUGUGGUGCAGUUGUGAAACAGCCUAAUGUCAUUUUGGGGUGUAUAUAAGACGUGGGAGGUAAUUGUCCCGCUCUGCUCGGCACUGGUGAGGCCUCAGCUGGAGUACUGUGUCCAAUUCUGGGUGCCACACUUAAGGAAAGAUGCGGACAAACUGCAGAGAGAGCAACAAGAAUGAUAAAAGUUUUAGAAAACCUGAUCUAGGAGUAAAGGUUAAAAAAACUGGGCCUAUUUAAUCUUGAAAAAAGACGACUAAGGGGAGACCUCCAAACAGUCUUCAAAUAUGUUAAGGGCUCUUAAAAAGAGGACAGUGAUCAUUGUUCUCUGUGUCCGCUGAAAGUAGGGCAAGUGAUGAGCUCUAUCUGCAGCAAGGGAGAUUUAGGUUAGAUAUUAGGAAAACAUUUCUAACUAUAAAGGUAGUGAAGCUCUGAAACUGCCUUCCAAGACAGGAUGUGGAAUCUCCCUCACUGAAGAUUUUUAAGAACAGGUUGGACAAACACCUGUCAAGGAUGAUCUCGGUUUACUUGGUCCUGCCUUAGCACAGGAGGCAUCUCACAAGGUCCCUUCCAGCCCUAUAUUUCUAUGUAGGCUGGUGAAAAGUGCCAGACUAACUUCCCCUGGACACUGAAGUCCUCCCUUUGUCCACAGAACACGUGCUGCAUACAAAGCAGCCAUGCAAACUUCUCCGUCUGCCUCAGUGCAAACCUGGUGGGGCUAUUUCCUGAGGCUGGCAGAGAGGAAGGUGGUUCAGUCUUCAAACUUACUCAAUCCCUGGCCUCUCAGCUGCAAUUGAAAAGGGUGCCAAUUUGCACUAAUUUUUGUGAUAUGGGAACUGGACUUAGACCCAGUGCUUCCUAAUGUUUUGUAAGUUAUCAACUGCAGCCAAGCCAAGCUAUGAGGUUAGAAAAUAAGCAGGAUUUUAUUAUUUUUUUAGAAGACCGCAGUGAGUUAUUAUGUGAGGGAUACGUAAUAAACAAGCAAUACAUUAGUGAAGCUCUUCUAUUUACUGUGGCUGAAUGCGAGUUUUAGCCAUUGUCCAAUGCCCAGCAUGCAAGGAGUAUACGUUAUAAGAAAACACAGUGAUGUUAUUUCUAGACACCACACAGGGGUAUCAGGGGUGUCUUCAGUAUAGGGAGGGAGAGAUGAUAAGAGAAGGAAACAAGUUAGAAAACAAUUUCUUCAGCAAAUAUCUUCAAUAAGACUCAAGACCCUUUCAGAUAGUCUUAGUUGCUUCCCUCCAGCCCCAUCACUUGUUCAACUCACUUUGUCAUGUACGGCACUCUGCUGAAAUGUGUAUUUAAAACUCAGCAAAAUGGGUUUCGGGUGGAGUCGGCAUAUCAAAUGCACAGAAGAUUCUGUUGCCUCCCCAGUUUCUUCCCGUUCACAGUAUUCAUAUUAUCUGGGUAAAAACGGCAGUGAAACCUGAGGCUUGUGUGCACACAUCAGACCCCAUCCUCAUUCCUCCAAUCAUUCCCGGGCCCAUUCAUCACUAGCUCUACAGGCAGGGAGCCAGACAUGGUGGCACCACCACUUCUGCUUAUAAAGGCUUUAAAUCAGUAAAGACAUAUUUGUUCUCAUCUGCUUUCAGUCUGCACUUUCACUGGGCUUUCCAGUAAUAUUUUUAUUGUUUAAAAGAAAGGUGUCCUUUCAGACUCUAUUAUUCUUCUCAUUUCCUUAAUAAGGCGGCUGCAUGACUGGCAAGGGGACUCCAGGUUAUCUCCAGGGUAUUUUUAUUCUACUCGGACUGCAGGAUGUGCCUGAACACUGUCCAGAAAUGGAUUUAGCGGCUGUUGUGUUUUUCCUUCCUGCUUGACAGAAAGAUCGUUCUCUGGCUUGAUUAAUUUUAAUUCUUCUGUCUGCUUCGUUCUGUUCAUGGCUACAGAGUGAGUUCCUUCCAGGAACUGCCAGGUAUAGAGAAACAUUUUCAGAACACAAGUUGCACGCAUCUGUAGAUGAUAAUUCUGUGCAUGGGUUAAUUUCUAGUUAGCAACCUUUGACCUACGGCUGAAGGACCUCCCCAGACCCCAGUUUCCCCUGAGACAUGUCCUUGGUCAAAAGCUCCUGAUCAGGAGCUAACUUUUUUGUAUGUUUUCAAAUACCAAACGAUAUACAUUUUCCCAUCAAAUCCAGCAGUUUUUGUUUCAACAAGUCCAUUUUUAAUUUUACUUAUUUAUUUUAACACCACUGUUUAUGUUAAAUCCUGAUAAUAAUUCGGAGAGUCACAGCACCACAUUUAAAAACAAUCCCAGACAGGAAGAAUGACUAUUAACAAAGCACUCGUCAACUGUUAUAUAUUAGCUGCAUGUUCUUGGAUAUGGCUAGCGGGAGAAUUCACAGUCUAAAUUGCUGCCCCUUUGGUGAGUGUUCAUAUUGUAACAGAGCAGUGGCAAGCUUCCCUGGCUUCUGGCACCAAGAAUCACAGCUGACUGUACAGCUUUCAAAAAGGGGCUGACUUUCAUGCUAUUCCACAGCUCCAGACCAUAGAGCCACAUUGUCAGAAGCAGGCUCUAAAAUUACAGCCACAAUUUGCUGUCUAGCUACUAGUGUUGGAGGAAUUACGUUAAAUGAACAUACUGCCAUUUGUUUGUCAAAUAACAAAUUAAACAACUAGUUUUGCAGUACUCAAGCAGCUCAAAAGCUAUUCAUCUAACAAUAUAUUCAAAAAUAUUCUCUCUGCUAUUUGGUGUUUAUUCAUCUUAGCUAUCUGUGACCUAAGUACUUAAGUGUCCUCUGCCCCCGCAAAAAAAAAAAAAGGAAAGAAAAUUUGGCAUUAGCAAAAGAGCUUGAGAUUUGCAUAAACAGUAGAUAGAUGUCUGACUAUGCUAACUACCUGAUUUUUACAUUUCCAUCCAGGUUAGGCUGGAAUGGAAAAUGUAAUAUAAAACCAAGGAGAGAGACAAGUUAGAACAAGGUUGCUCCAUUUUGAAUCUGCAGGGCUUAAUUCAACCAGCACGUGGGGGGGAAAUCAUGGACUUGAUUUUCCAAAAUAAAAUUAUAUUAUUCAUAUACUACACAAACAUACAAAUGUACUUACUUGUGGGAUUUUCUCUCUAUCCAAGUAAACUUUUUCUCUUAACAAAGACCAAUAAAAUGACUUAGAGCUCUUAUGUUGGGAGUCAGAAUUUUAUGAGGUUUCAGAGGAACAGCCGUGUUAGUCUGUAUUUGCAAAAAG